GAGAGCAUCCAAGGGGGAGAGCAUUCGGCUCUCCCAUGGGAAAGCAUGGGCAUGAGUGAGAGAAAAUCAAGAGAGUUAGAGUGAAAAUUAUUCUAGUGAAAGAACUCUUGGGGUAGAGUGAGGCUCUUGGGAAAAUUCUAUGAGUGGGUGUACAAGGGAUUUGGGAUUGGGUUAUGUCGAUUUAACUCAUGUGUACUUGUACUGUUAUUCUCAUAGUGAAGAGCAAUAUCUCUCCGGGGACGUAGGCAGG
rnacentral:lncRNA from 1 species